CAAAAUAAACACAACUCAUUUAAAUCGUCAAAUUUAUCAAAAUAGUUUUAUUCCUUUCCUAUAUACAUCAUGUACGUGCCAUUUAGUCGACGGUCAACUCAGGCAAUAAGGGAAAUAACUCUAAUAGCUUUAGGAAAUACAUGUAGGAUACACAUUUGCACCAAAUCUAUGACAAAGUAUUUCUCAUGUUUGAGUCAACACUAAACAUAUUUACAAUAUAUAUAAACUAAUGUAUAAUUGGUGAACUGAAAACAAAUCAUACAUAAACAAUUAGUUUAUUAUCAAUGGAAGACGUUCGUUUGCAAAAUUGUUUGUUUGUUUUUUCUUUCUUAUCCGAUUAUGAUCAUAGACAAUGUAUCUAGACCCUGCAUGAUGAGCUAAUACAUUGAAAGAGUUAGUGCUAAGUGAAUCAUUUUCCUUAAUAAAUUACUUCACAUUAAUGGCAUCGAAGCAGCCAAGAAAUCGAGGAAUAGUAAGACAAGUUAAAAGCUGUAAUAGAACACGUAUCACACAAAGGGACUUUUGUUGUUAUGUAUGACUGAUACAUUGAAGCGGAUAUGAAAGUAAAGUUAUAAAGAUGAAACACAGGUAGGAGUUUAUAUAUGUAACGUUUAUAGUCUUAAUUACGACCUCAUUAAUAUCGAAAAUAAGCCUGGGAUUCUUUACCAAAAAAGAAAAUAAGCCGCGGCUUAUUAUCGAGAUUAUAGAGUAUACCUACAUAAUAUAACGAAACUUUCUCUUAGUUUCAACGCUAAAUAUAUUCCCUGGAGUUAAAUCAAUAAAUUAUAUCGAUAACAUGGGCUAAUAAAUAAGCCCACGCCCGGAAUUAUAGGUACUGCGACCACGCGUCGUCUCUGUGAGGGGAAGACAAUAACGUAACCCUUGGAUCUGGAAGACGUAAUACGCCGAACUGUAUCUAAAACACUUUACAUAGUGGGUUCUAAAAAGUUUAAAGUGAUAUCUAUUUGGGAAAGACAAAACUAACGGACUACAUAUAGAUAUAACUUUGCAUAUCUGUUUUAACUUUCGAAUCUAUUACUAUGAACGAAUGGAAUGAAAUAAUGAAUGCAUUUAAUAUAUGAUAAACACAAUGACGUCAUCAUUAACUUUCCAUUUUAAUGGAUAUAAUACUACUACAUCCGUAACAAGAGACACCAUAAAGGCCUUAGCGAGCACCAUUGAAUGACCUUUCUAUAUCUAUAUAAACCUUCCCCUACGAUUUUCGUCCUUCCUCUUAAUCAUGUAAUUGUUUUAUUAACAAAAAAAAUGACGUACUUUUUUUGUUUUUGUUUUCUGAUCAGCCCGAAAAUUAAACAGGCACAAAUACAAAUCAAAUCAAGAUAAAUUUACGUUUCAGAAUCUGAGAAUGGUUCUAGAUGUGUUACUCAAGCAAUGGUGACAACAAGGAUUGUUUACGGACGGACGGACGGUCGGUCGAUGGACCACGGACGUAGGGUGAUUUGAUUAAAAUUACAUUCAAAUGUUAAACCAUUCAGCUACUUGGUAACUGCAUUUUGAUUCAUUGGUGGAAGGAUUAAUUAAUUCUAUCGAGGACAUGGUCCGAAGAAGCAGACUAACCGAUUAGGAAAGUAGAAAAAA